rnacentral:lncRNA from 1 species
GUACGGUGUCUUCACAGAGGUCACUAAAAAAACUCAUUUUCCUUGGUGCAAUCAUCUUUGUGGGCAUUUUUUGUGAGAGUGAAACGAUCGCGACAGGACCGGAAUCAGGAGACGCAUCGAUAACCAUAAGCAGGCGACGCCAAUUGGAUAAUCGGCGGACUGUCCUCUUAGCAAGAGCUGCACGGAAGCUGCCAGGCUCCACCGUCUACACGUCCUUAGGUGAUUGGAAGGCGAGUUAUUUCAAUUGUCCAGGAAGGCUAUUUUCCUCCGAGGUAGUGUACUGCUGGGCGGCUCUGAAGGCAGAGACUCUAACUACCAUAAUCAGCACGCCGUUCGGAGGUGAAUUUCUUACAUCGCGAGGAACGUGAAGCAAGCUAUAGCCGCUCCCGGAAGUCGUGUUUCCACGCUGUUAGGAGGCCACCAGCCCGCUUAGAGGAUACGACUUUCUAUUUCCCCGUCCACCGAUGGGUCGCUCUAUAUUGCUCGAGAGAAAAUGAAUUAUAUGCUAUGAUAUCCAGCAAAGGUGGCAUGCUGUUGGUAACGUGAGGUUUCUCAUGUGCUGUCACGGCCACAAUUAGCAAGAAACCAGGGCGAGUCCUGUACGGACCGGAACCGAUGAUCAAUUAAUUUUGCAAAACGAGCUUCCUUCGGUUGGUGGUUGUUUUCUUGAUGUGGUUCACAUUCCUUUUUCCCUCUCGCUGGACAUUCUAUAAAGGCCCGUAUGGCUCUAAGAGCCUUCUGAGGUCUCGUUGACUCAUUUGCUAGACAGUUC